GCCGGCGUAUGGGUAACCUGGUAACCCAGCAGCCUGGAAAGCUGCCGUCCGAAAGGGCUUGCGAGUUCAAAUCUCGUCGCCGGCG
rnacentral:tRNA from 1 species